CACCGCGGUUAUACGAGAGACCCAAGUUGAUAGACACCGGCGUAAAGAGUGGUUAUGGACACCCAAAAACUAAAGCCAAAUGCCCCCAAAGCUGUUAUACGCUCCCGGAGGCCAGAAGCUCAACCACGAAGGUGGCUUUAUGUUUCCUGAACCCACGAAAGCUGCGGCA
rnacentral:rRNA from 1 species